rnacentral:rRNA from 1 species
UACGAAGGGGGCUAGCGUUGUUCGGAUUUAUGUACGUGGGCGUAAAGCGCACGUAGGCGGAUCGAUUUGAAGUUAGGGGUGAAACUCCUGGAGCUCAACCUACCAGAACUGCCUCUAAUACUGGCGAUCUAGAGUCCGGAAGAGUGAGUGGAACUCCUAGUGAUAGAGGUGGAAUUCGUAGAUAUUAGGAAGAACACCAG